CCUACGGGCGGCAGCAGUGAGGAAUAUUGGUCAAUGGACGAGAGUCUGAACCAGCCAAGUAGCGUGAAGGAUGAAUGCCCUGUGGAUUGUAAACUUCUUUUAUAUGGGAAUAAAGCAGGGUAUGCAUCCCCUCUUGUGUGUACCAUAAGAAUAAGCAUCGGCUAACUCCGUGCCAGCAGCCGCGGUAAUACGGAGGAUCCGAGCGUUAUCCGGAUUUAUUGGGUUUAAAGGGAGCGUAGGUGGAUUGUUAAGUCAGUUGUGAAAGUUCGCGGCUCAACCGUAAAAUCGCAGUUGAAACUGGCAGUCUUGAGUACAGUAGAGGUAGGCGGAAUGCGUGGUGUAGCGGUGAAAUGCUUAGAUAUCACGAAGAACUCCGAUUGCGAAGGCAGCUUACUGGACUCAAACUGACACUGAUGCUCGAAAGUGUGGGUAUCAAACAGGAUUAGAUACCCCUGUAGUC
rnacentral:rRNA from 1 species